rnacentral:rRNA from 1 species
AGCGAACGCUGGCGGCAGGCCUAACACAUGCAAGUCGAACGCUGUAGCAAUACAGAGUGGCAGACGGGUGCGUAACGCGUGGGAAACUUCCAUUUAGUACAGAAUAGCCCAGGGAAACUUGGAUUAAUACUGUAUACGCCCUACGGGGGAAAGAUUUAUCGCUAAAUGAUGUGCCCGCGUAAGAUUAGCUAGUUGGUGAGGUAAUGGCUCACCAAGGCUACGAUCUUUAGCUGGUCUGAGAGGAUGGUCAGCCACACUGGAACUGAGACACGGUCCAGACUCCUACGGGAGGCAGCAGUAGGGAAUAUUGGACAAUGGGCGGAAGCCUGAUCCAGCCAUGCCGCGUGGAGGAUUUAAAGGGCCCCUCUGGGUUGUAAACUCCUUUUAUCUGGAAGAACCAUUCCGACUUGUCGGAACAUGACGGUACCAGAGGAAUAAGCACCGGCUAACUCCGUGCCAGCAGCCGCGGUAAU